rnacentral:misc_RNA from 1 species
AAAUCAAAAUCGAUUUGUUACUUUGGUAACGUUUCGGAAUUGGGUCAUCUUGAACCUUCAGGUUCAAGAGGCUUAAAAUUGAUCAUUUUUGGUAUGAAUUAAGCGUAUUUAAGAUCUCUUAUCACGCGCUUGAUGAGUAUCGGAUGUUUACUAGGCGUGACCAUGAUCAUGGUUUCGCGCCCAUAAUCUUUCAUG